rnacentral:rRNA from 1 species
GACGAACGCUGGCGGCGUGCUUAACACAUGCAAGUCGAACGGAAAGGCCCUGCUUUUGUGGGGUGCUCGAGUGGCGAACGGGUGAGUAACACGUGAGAAACCUGCCUUUGACUUUGGGAUCAUUUCAGGAAACUGGGGCUAAUACCGGAUAGUAGCUCCUGCUGCAUGGUGGGGGUUGGAAAGUUUCGGCGGUUGGGGAUGUACUUGCGGCUUAUCAGCUUGUUGGUGGGCUAGUGGCUUACCUAGUCUUUGACGGGUAGCCGGCCUGAGAGGGGGACCGGCCACAUGGGGACGGAGAUACGGCCCAGACGCCUACGGGAGGCAGCAGUGGGGAAUAUUGCCCAAUGGGCGGAAGCCUGAUGCAGCAACGCCGCGUGCGGGAUGACGGCCUUCGUGUUGUAAACCGCUUUCGCCUGUGACGAAGCGUGAGUGACGGUAAUGGGUAAAGAAGCACCGGCUAACUACGUG